AUGAACGCUAGCUACAGGCUUCACACAUGCAAGUCGAGGGGAAACGGCAUCGACAGCUUGCUUUUGAUGGGCGUCGACCGGCGCACGGGUGAGUAACGCGUAUCCAACCUGCCCAUCACUUGGGAAUAACCUUGCGAAAGUAAGACUAAUGCCCAAUGACAUCCCACGAAGGCAUCCGAAUGGGAUUAAAGAUUUAUCGGUGAUGGAUGGGGAUGCGUCUGAUUAGCUUGUUGGCGGGGUGACGGCCCACCAAGGCAACGAUCAGUAGGGGUUCUGAGAGGAAGGUCCCCCACAUUGGAACUGAGACACGGUCCAAACUCCUACGGGAGGCAGCAGUGAGGAAUAUUGGUCAAUGGGCGAGAGCCUGAACCAGCCAAGUAGCGUGCAGGAGGACGGCCCUAUGGGUUGUAAACUGCUUUUAUAAGGGAAUAAAGUGGGUCACGUGUGACUUUUUGCAUGUACCUUAUGAAUAAGGACCGGCUAAUUCCGUG
rnacentral:rRNA from 1 species